GCUCCGGACGCGCAGGCUCAGCGGCCAUGGCUCAUGGGCCUAGCCGCUCUGCGGCAUGUGGGAUCUUCCUGUUCCGGGGCACGAACCCGUGUCCCCUGCAUCGGCAGACGGACUCUCAACCACUGUGCCACCAGGGAAGCCCUGAACUGUACAUUUUUAAAUGCAUACCCCACUGGGAGGCAAAGACUGUCCAGUUUGCCAUCAUCAUUAUAGUCAUACUAGGAUUGAUGCUUGGUUAAGGAAGCGUCUACCAGAUAUCGCUACUGGGUGAAUCCAGGCAAAGACUGGCCACAGACCACCCUAGCCUUACCAGGAAGUUUGCUGUCUUCUUAUCCCCCUGAGAUCUCUGCUUCUCUCCAGAUUUUCUCAACUCCUUCAGAUGCUCCAGCUGCUUCUGAAUUUGUUUCUGGAAAAAAAGAGCACUUGUCAAAGCUUGAACUUGGCUCCUGCCAUCUUGGUGCCAACUCUAGAUGGGAAAACUUGCUUCACGGAAUAAAGCUGAAGGUGAGGCAGCCAAGAGCACAGGGAGAGGUACGCAGGAAAGAGGAAGAAUGAAUCCAUCACACCAAAGGAAGCAGAGCCAAGAGGCAGUGAGAAUGAUUUCUAAUGACCUCUUGUGAGCACCUGGAUUCAGCCAUACCUAAAGCUAGAUUCCCAUAGCUACAUGAACCAGUAAAUCCCUCUUUGUUGGCUUACUUUGUAUUGUGUUUGCCAUUUACAGCCCAAAGAUGCUGGCCAAUGUACCAACUCCCAGGGUUUUGGGGGAAAUGAAGCAAGCCCCGAUGUGUUCAAGUGCCCAGCAGAGAAGGACCCCAAUGCAGAAAGCCCUACCUUGUAUUCCAGGGCGGCCUCCUCGAUGGGGCGAACCCGGUGGCCUCGGUGCUCCUGACUCAGCCCGCAGAUGAGGCAGAUGGGUUCCCCGUGGUCCUCGCAGAAGAGCAGCUGGACCUGCUUCAUGUGACGCUCACACUGUGGCAGGGACUUGGGGCUCAGGCUGGCCAUCUGCAGGCCCUCCUGCCACUCGAGGCUUCCAUGGCUCUUCCCCGGGAGCAAGUCCUGGCACUGAGGGCAGCUGGAUGAGUAGCCACGUGAGACCUCAGGAUCCCUAGAAGCAACGGGGCAGCUGCAGGAAACAUGCACGCAGCUGCCACCAACCGGGUCUCCUUCCUGGGCACAGCAAAGGGGACACAUAGCCUUGUCCUGCAGUCUCCCUGGGGACAUAGCAGUGGAAAAAUCUCAUGAGUGACAAACCCAAGAUGUUACCAAGGAAUGCUGCAAAUCACAGCGAGAGUCCGUGCCUGGGAUACGUACAUUCUCGUGGUCUGGAACCAAACCCACGACGUGCCUGUACAUUCUGGCCAAGAGGAAGUAAAUGGAGGCAUCACGAGCAGCAUCUAGAAACUUCUGAAAACCUUCCCUAAGUGAUACUAUUCUCCUUUGUCCCUCCAUCCUGCUGCCUGGAAUGAGGAUGCCACCAUCUGAGACCACAACCUUAAGAGCAAACUCCGUAGAGCAGAAAAGCAGCAGGAGCUUGGGUUCCUGACCACGGUGUACCACAUUUGUCCUGGACCACCUGUGUGUCAUUUAUGUGAAAGAGGAACAAACGUCUAUCUUGUUUCAGUUAUGUUAUUUUGGCAUUUCUGUCAUUCACAACCCAUCACCAUCCUAAUUUCUGCCUCUUUAGUAAAAGAGACCUAGGACUUUAGCCAACAGCUCCCUCCCUGCCCAGACAGAGGCGAAUAGCAGAAUCGCAGCCCCAUGACAUACUGCCAUGAGGUAUUGUGAGAAGGUGAUAUUUGUACCCAAUCUUUCUCAGAUGUUCAACCUGGGGUCCAUGAAGCCCUUGGGAAUUCUAAAGAAGGACUUCAGAGUGUCUAAGAACUAACUAACUGAAAUGUAUGCAACAUUUUUAUGAAAAUGUGCAGAUAUGCAUUUUUCAGGAUUCAGAGCCUACAUCAGAUUCUCAAAGGGUGGAGGACCUCAAGGGGGACCCAGAGAUCCAGUGAAAUGAAUACAGUGGGGAUAAAAGCAGGUUUGCAGGGGGAAACCUGCAAAGGUCAUCAUUCCUAAGGAUGCCAGGUCUUCUGGAUUCUGAGGUCCUUUCUUACCUGAAGAUGGAGGGACUUCUGGAUUUGAAGGAUCAUGGAGCACACCACCUACCACCUCCUCCAAGGCCUUAGAGGUCUUUGGAGCCUCAGUUCCACUCUUCUCUGCAGGUACUGUGGACUCUGGAUGCUCCCAGAUCUUCUUUCCAGCCAACGAUACACUGGAAAGUGUAUUCCUGAGUGCUACCCCCUCCAGAGUCAUGGCGUGUUCUGGCUUCCUGGAUCCUUUCUCUGCAGCCACAGUAGCCCCUGUGUUCAGAGUGGCUGCUGAGCCUGGAUUCUCACAUCUCAUUUUCUCUUGAAGCAUAAGAGUUUCUGGGUUGAGAGGUUCUGUCUCUCCUGAAGAAAUGGUAAAUUCAAGACUUUUGGGUCGCUUCUUUCCUGAAGAUUCAGAGGCUUUUCCAGCUGGGAGGACUCAAUGCCUUGUCAGACACCUGGUCGUCAGCACCCAGCUCUCACUGACUUGGGCUGGACUGCAUAGUGGUGGAUGAGUCUUUGAGGAAGGGUCUGGGAUUGGAUUCCAGAUUCUGGAUCUUUGGGCAGGCAGUCAGAUGCUUCCCUCUCCCCUCCCAGGAUACGGGGGUGGGAGUGGGGGGAACAGAGCCCCUGGUCCCAUGCUGGAGAGAACCAUGAUAAGGGUCAGCCCCUCUGGCCAACUGCUCUUCUCCAGACUCUUGGGGUUUUAUUGACCCUCUGGAGCCAAUGACAGGGGGAUGGGGAGCAGCAAAUACAGCCCUGCAAGCUCUGCCCCUCCCUGCCCAAGAAGGCAGGUGAGGCCAGAAGGGCACCACCAGGAGACAAGCCCUGGGGUCGCCCCUGUUGAUGUAGUUCCAGUUGUCUGGUUCUUCCAGCAACACGAAGGCCUCGAAACGCGACGCCUGGGACCACCAUCCUGAUUUAUUUGUCCCAGCGCUAACUCUGCCGUGGCUUCCUGGGAGCAGACUCCGGAGGGAGGGUGUCAUGCAUGCACGUGUACUGAACACGUGUUCUGGACCAGGAUGCUGGAGAAACAAGGGUGAAAAAGGCAUAGUCGUUCUUAGGGCUUGCAGCCCAGUAUGGGGCCCCAGCGGUGGCUCCAAAGCUAAUGGAGUUUGUAUGGGGGGAGCUGACUGCUUCCUCUGUUAACGGCUGUGUCUUUCUGCUACAUUGAUUUUUAUCCUCAACUUUUUGGUUCAAAAAAUUUCAGGGCUUCCCUGGUGGCGCAGUGGUUGGGAGUCCGCCUGCCGAAGCAGGGGACGUGGGUUCGUGCCCCGGUCCGGGAGGAUCCCACAUGCCGCGGAGCAGCUGGGCCCGUGAGCCAUGGCCGCUGGGCCUGCGUGUCCGGAGCCUGUGCCCUGCAGUGGGAGGGGCCGCAACGGUGAGAGGCCCGCGUACUGGAAAAAAAAAAAAAAUUCAAAUUCACAGAAAAUUUGAGAGCAUAGUACAAUGAACACUUAUAUACCCUUUACCUAGGUUCAGCAACAAUUUACAUUUCAUGUUUGGUGAUUCUCUCUCUCUCACACAUGCACACACUUUUUUGUUUUUUUGAAGCAUUUCGUAAUAAAUUGAAAGCAUGUCAGAUAUCACUUCAAAUACCCUAGCUAUCCUAAAUACUAAGAAUGAGGAUACAAGGAUAUUACUUUAUUAUUUAUUUAUUUAAAUUUUAUUUAUUUAUUUAUUUUUGGCUGCCCCCACUCAGCUUGUCAGAUCUUAAUUACCUGACCGGGAAUUGAACCCGGGCCCUCUGCAGUGAAAGCGCCGAGUCCUAACCACUGGACCGCCAGGGAAUUCCCAAGGAUAUUAUUUUAAAUAAUCACAGUAGUAGUAUCACACUCAGGAAAUUUAAUGUUGUUACAAUACUACAAGCUUUCCAUAAUCAAAUUCCCCAAUUGUCCUGGUAAUGUCUUUGAUAGCUUUUUUUUGUCCCAAUCCAGGAUCCAAUCAGAGAUCCUGCAUUGCCUUUAGUUGCCAUAUCUCUGUAGUCUCCUUUUAUCUAGAACACUUUCACAUUCCCCUCACCUUUUAAAAUUCUUUCAAGACAUUAAUGUUUUUGAGGGCUUCCCUGGUGGCGUAGUGGUUAAGAAUCCUCCUGCCAAUGCAGGGGACACGGGUUCGAGCCCUGGCCCGGGAAAAUCCCACAUGCUGCGGAGCAACUAAGCCCGUGCGCCACAACUACUGAAGCCCGGGCACCUAGAGCCCCGUACUCUGCAGCAAGGGAAGCCCACGCACCUCGAGAAAGAGUAGCCCCCUGCUCGCUGCAACUAGAGGAAGCGCGCGUGCAGCAACAAAGACCCAAAGCAGCCAAAAAUAAAUAAAUAAAUAUAAAAAAUAAAGUGGGGACAGUGGGUGAGGUCUCAGACCUGGAGGCUUGCUUCGCCAAGCCCUCUUAUUAAAAAAAAAAAAAAUUAAU